UAUAAAAUAAGCAAAACUGUUAAGACUUCCGGAUAAUGAAGUGAAAAAAAAAAUAAAUACAUGCCAACACAAAGUACAUGCAAAAUAGUUCAGAUGAGCUCUACGGGUUACGUUAAAAACAUUUCUGUGAAACAGUGAAGAACACGAUGCUGAACGUGACUGAUUUAUAGCACUGAAGAGUUUUAAAUCAAGUGCCUUCAAAUGUAAACAGUGUCCAGAGUGAAACCGGGAGUGCCCCAGGAGAUUCCGCUGUGAUUAACUGCGAGGUGAGGGAUUUGUUUGUUUCCCUAGAAACCACCUCGCUUCCAGAGAACUGCGCUUCAGUUUAACUUCAGAAGAAAAUAAUCGACAGACUGCUGUUUUCCAAGUGGCACUUCUGGCCAUUUGGACUCGGAAUCUGACUGAUCCAUCUUCAGGCUGCUGUCAAAGGAGCAGGAUGACGGAGGCUAUGAAAACAAGGAGAUUAUUGGUUCCCUCCAGACUACAGACACACAGCUAAAAGAAAUACACCACUGCUGAGUGCGUGCAGAACAGGAAGCAUGUGGCACAGCAACGCACCUGCGGAUUUGAGGAGGAGGCCUGGCUUUGCUGCUGGAGCUCCCAGAGUGACUUAGGAAUCUGCAGACACAAGACAGUCACGUACGAUAAAGCCUCUUGUCACCAUUGUCACUCCCAAUUCCCGAAUCAGGCCCGUGGUUCUUACUGGGAUAAAAAUCUUCCAUGCUGCACACAGAGGCAUACCUAUCUGUGAGCGGCUGUGGAAGACAGCGUUUGCCGAGGGACGGCAGGUCCAGGGCGUCUGGCUUUUUGUCCGACCUGCACGCUUGAAUAUUUAGAUGGCGCAAUCGUGCCAGAUCUGUAUUGCUUGCGCCCAAGCCUUGGAACUCACCUGUGCUGGAGGAGACUGCAUAGGAUUGUUAUCGAG